rnacentral:lncRNA from 1 species
AUCUCCUCAUUUUCAUUCUUUCUUAUACAUACCAUAAAUUAUAUGGUAAUCGAGAGUUGUCUUCCUCGUUCUGUGACCUUUCAUGGCCUCUUAUUAGCGGAACCAAAAAUAAGUGUAUCUAUCUCCUUUUCCUUUUUGAGUUCUUUAUCAAAGAGCCACCACGGGAUACAAAAUAUUUGCUACUCACACUUAAUCAACCGAUGGAUACGAUAUGACGUCAACUUUACCAAUCGUGGUACCGAUUUUCUUGAAAACGGCCACUUUUCUCCCUUGGAGCAAACUGUUUUGAUAUUUUUCAACCACCAUAGUCAUCGGUUGGGGAAAUCAUAAAUUGAUUUUGAUUUCUUCUUGUUGUUAUAUUCAAAAAACACUACUCAUUCGCGUAAUUUGACAAAAUUGACGUCGAAACCUAUCUAUGCUUUGACGGUACGGUGAGUCUUUUCGAUUAUGAAAUUUACAUCUUUUAACUCGGUUGAAUUUAAUAAAAUAAAGUUUAUAUAUAUUGAUAUAUAUAUAUAUAUAUAUAUAUAUAUAUAUAUAUAUAUAUAUAUAUAUAUAUAUGUGUGUGUGUAAUGACCAAUUGUGUAUGUAAAAUUUUGUGUUUAAUUUUUGUUUUUGAUUAGUAAAAUAAAUUCAUCUUGUUUAACUAAUACAAUUGUUCUAUAUUAUUACAUCUCUACGUUGGAUAAAUAGAUAUGAUUGUAUACUAUUUAUUAAAAAUCAAAUUCUGUUAAAAGCAAAAGUAAAAAUAUUUUCCAAUUAAAUUCAAAAUUCAGUUUUAUAUUUAGAAAUAAACUAUGCUUCAGUUUUAUAAUCAAUAGUUUUCUUUGUUUGAUAAGGUUAAUUCUAUUUUAAUCAUAAUACACUUAUUUAUGUUUAAUUUAUAAUAUCUUUAUUAUUUAAUAUUUUAGUACUCUCAUUUUAAAUAAGAAAACAUAAAAUUGUGUUUUAAUGUUCUAACUCUACUUAGACUAUAUCGUUAUUAAGUUUUUUUAACUAAAAUGUUAUAAUUAUUAUUGAUUUUUAUAUAUAUAUACACUAUAAAAUAUCGUUAUUAUUAUUUAUUUAUAUAUAUAUACACUAUAAAAUAUGAUUUAUAUUAUAUAUCACAAAUAAUUAAUAAUUAAUUUAUAUGGUUUUGUCAUUGUAUAUUUAUUUAGCUUUUAUUGGUUAUUGGUCGCCACGUGGACAAAGAAGAAGAUGUGAACCUGAUAAGCUGUUUGAAUUCGUUGUGGCGUAGAGAUUAUUAUGUCUAGUGAAAGCUUCAAUUGAGGUAAGCGGUUAGAGGAGGUUCAAUUUUAUGAGUAUAAAAUAAUGUGGGAUGAACGAGAAUACUGUAAUUUCUAGAUAUUCAUUUGGGUUUACUACGUACAGUUAAGUUCUAUUAAGUAAUAAUAAUUAAUUAAUAAUAUAUGAAUGGUAAUAGCGAUGACUAAAAUAUAAUUUAACAACAUUUAGAAUUGUCGUGACUUUUUAUAUGUCAAAACUGGAUGUUGUUUGAUUUGAUGAACCUGUAUGCUGAUUGUGAUUGUAGGAAUGAUAUGUACUUGAGUACUCUUUUUUAUUUGAUUGAAAUUGUGAUAUUACUUGAACGCACCACGUGUUUGAUUUCUUAUUCGGUGAUUGACAAGACUAGACUGUGCAUUGUGAAUAGUGUAAACCAAAUAUUUGGAUUUUAUUGUGAUUUCUCGUUUAUCUUGUACUGUUAUGUGAUUUUGAAAUUCACUCUUCGUUGUUUUUGUUUGGCAUUUGCGAUGGACGCAAACAAGCUGAAAGCUGCAAGGAAUACUAAUACUCUCAGAGUGUCGGAAGUCGUCUUAUCUUGAAGACUUCUAUUAUAUGUCUUUUGUUAUUGUGUUUUUAUUUUGGGAAUUUCCGCUCUCAUAGUGACAUCGGGUUGGGACUAUAUUGACAUUUAU